rnacentral:lncRNA from 1 species
GGUGGGCGUGGCCUCUGGCGGAAGUCGCGGGAGGCGGCUCGCUCUGAAGUCGGAACCUAGCUCGGGAUUGACAGACCCGGCUUUGGCUGAGCAGGACCUGUUGCCUACUUUUUCGGGUUGGUAGAUGGAUUUUAUUGGAGCACAGCCGCGUCCCAGUGUCUGUCCAGCCUGAGGUCCCUGCUGCCGGGCCCAGUGUAGGAACAGCUGGUGGAUCCCUGCUUCACGGGUCGACGUGAUAAUGAGAUCCUGGCCAGAGUCACGUGGGUGUGUGUCAAAUAAAUGAACCUUCAACGAAUAACCAAGCAGCAUCUCAUUUUAUGUGAAGAGACAUGGGAAUCCCGAGAGUCAAAUGGAACGGUGCUACACACAGGGAAUAAAACAAUGAAAUCUAACAUGGAGCUUGGCCUUGGAGAAUUCUCAUUCAGCAUAGACAAGAAUUGAAUAAUCAACACACAAAUGUAAAGUUUCAACUGUAGCAAAUACUGCAGUGGCAAGAGACAGUGAUUUUUCCUUUGUAGGUUUUCUUUAUUUUUAAAAUUUACUGGGCUGGGGAUUUAGCUCAGUGGUUUCACUGCCUGCUAUGCAAGCGCAAGGACCCUUGUUUGAUCCCCAGUACCAAAUAAAUAAAUAAAUAAAAUUUAUUGGGAC